rnacentral:rRNA from 1 species
AACGCUAGCUACAGGCUUAACACAUGCAAGUCGAGGGGCAGCACGGGAGUAGCAAUACAACUGGUGGCGACCGGCGCACGGGUGAGUAACGCGUAUGCAACCUACCUAUCAGAGGGGAAUAACCCGGCGAAAGUCGGACUAAUACCGCAUAAAACAGGGGCACCGCAUGGUGAUAUUUGUUAAAGAAAUUCGCUGAUAGAUGGGCAUGCGUUCCAUUAGGUAGUUGGUGAGGUAACGGCUCACCAAGCCGACGAUGGAUAGGGGAACUGAGAGGUUGGUCCCCCACACUGGUACUGAGACACGGACCAGACUCCUACGGGAGGCAGCAGUGAGGAAUAUUGGUCAAUGGGCGAGAGCCUGAACCAGCCAAGUCGCGUGAAGGAAGAAGGAUCUAUGGUUCGUAAACUUCUUUUGCAGGGGAAUAAAGUGCAGGACGUGUCCUGUUUUGUAUGUACCCUGAGAAUAAGGAUCGGCUAACUCCGUGCCAGCAGCCGCGGUAAUACGGAGGAUCCGAGCGUUAUCCGGAUUUAUUGGGUUUAAAGGGAGCGUAGAUGGAUUUUUAAGUCAGUUGUGAAAGUUCGGGGCUCAACCCCGUAAUUGCAGUUGAUACUGGAUAUCUUGAGUACAGUUGAGGUAGGCGGAAUUCGUGGUGUAGCGGUGAAAUGCUUAGAUAUCACGAAGAACUCCGAUUG